rnacentral:rRNA from 1 species
UACGUAGGGGGCUAGCGUUGUCCGGAAUCAUUGGGCGUAAAGGGCGCGUAGGUGGCCCGGUCAGUUCGUGGUGAAAGCGCGGGGCUCAACCCUGCGUCGGCCAUGAAUACUGCCGCGGCUGGAGCACUGUAGAGGCAGGCGGAAUUCCUGGUGUAGCGGUGAAAUGCGUAGAGAUCAGGAAGAACACCGGUGGCGAAGGCGCUCUGCUAGGCCGCAACUGACACUGAGGGACGAAAGCUAGGGGAGCGAAUGGG